AUGAACCCAAACAGGACUCCCGGGGAGCCACAACCCCUAAUGCCGUCUGCCGCUCCUGGUGCUGACGCUCCCUCUGCUGACGCGCCCGGCACUCAGUCCUCAUGGCGCCCACCCCCCGCGUGGACAGACGCGCCCCGGGCACUCAGCCCUCAUGGCACCCACCCCUCCACGUGGACAGACGCGCCCUGGGCACUCAGCCCUCAUGGCACCCACCCCUCCACGUGGACAGAUGUACCCUGGGCACUCAGCCCUCAUCAUGGCGUCCACCCCUCCGCGUGGACAGACACGCCCCGGGCACUCAGCCCUCAUCAUGGCGUCCACCCCUCCACGUGGACAGACACGCCCCGGGCACUCAGCCCUCAUCAUGGCGUCCACCCCCCAACGUGGACAGACGCGCCCUGGGCACUCAGCCCUCAUCGUGGUGUCCACCCCCCGUGGACAGACGCACCCCGGGCACUCAGCCCUCAUCAUGGCGUCCACCCCCCAACGUGGACAGACGCGCCCUGGGCACUCAGCCCUCAUCAUGGCGUCCACCCCCCAACGUGGACAGACGCGCCCUGGGCACUCAGCCCUCAUCAUGGUGUCCACCCCCCGUGGACAGACGCACCCCGGGCACUCAGCCCUCAUCAUGGCGUCCACCCCCCGCGUGGACAGACGCGCCCUGGGCACUCAGCCGUCAUCAUGGCGUCCACCCCCCCAACGUGGACAGACGCGCCCUGCGCACUCAGCCCUAAUCAUGGUGUCCACCCCCCGUGGACAGACGCACCCCGGGCACUCAGCCCUCAUCAUGGCGUCCACCCCCCGCGUGGACAGACGCGCCUCGGGCACUCAGCCGUCAUCAUGGCGUCCACCCCCCGCGUGGACAGAUGUGCCCCGGGCACUCAGCCCUCAUCAUGGCGUCCACCCCCCGCGUGGACAGACGCGCCUCGGGCACUCAGCCGUCAUCACGGCAUCCACCCCCCGCGUGGACAGACGCUUCCUCUGCUGACGCGCCCCGGGCUGUACCCACCACAGUCAGGGGAAACACUUCAUGGUUUCUACUGCUUGCUUUCUUUCUUUCACAAAGUUUUAAGAUUUCAAACUUCAGGGAUUAUGUUUUGCUGGAUAAAAUUUAAGUGUGGAAAUCAGACCCCGGCGCUAAGAGAAGGCCAGGCUAGGACGCCUCACUCUCAUUCCCACCCUGACGGACGUCACUGGCAGUGCGCAGGUGCACGGCCGAGCACGGGCCUGCGCGGACGGGCGGGGCUCACCUUCUCGUGCCACUGCAGGAGCACGGCGCUGCUGUUGUCGGAGGGGCUCUCGAAGCCCUUGUAGAUGUACUUCAUGAGCAGGUCCACGCCGUUCCUGUCCAGGGACUGCACGGCCUUUUCUAUGUCGCCGGCCUUGAAGGAGAUGAGCACCUUCAGCACGAUGCUGCCUGCCCGGUCCUGGGGGAACACACGAGGCAACAGCGCGACUCCUGAGUGUGCGGCUGCACCUGCGCAGGGGGGGCCGUGCCGGGGAGGGGAGCCCGGGCGGAGGCCCGCAGGCGGGAACAGGACAGCGCGGUGUCUCAGGAAAGCAGUCAGGCCCAGAGGGGGCGCGUGCUGCCAGUGUGCCCAGGGCCUACGGCAGAACCGCAGCGGGGAGCCAGAGGGGCGCGGAGAGGAGGCUCAUGCGACCGGCGCCCCCCCCCCCCCCCCC
ensembl:lncRNA